rnacentral:rRNA from 1 species
AGUGAACGCUGGCGGUAGGCCUAACACAUGCAAGUCGAACGGCAGCACAGUAAGAGCUUGCUCUUACGGGUGGCGAGUGGCGGACGGGUGAGGAAUACAUCGGAAUCUACUUUUUCGUGGGGGAUAACGUAGGGAAACUUACGCUAAUACCGCAUACGACCUACGGGUGAAAGCAGGGGAUCUUCGGACCUUGCGCGAUUGAAUGAGCCGAUGUCGGAUUAGCUAGUUGGCGGGGUAAAGGCCCACCAAGGCGACGAUCCGUAGCUGGUCUGAGAGGAUGAUCAGCCACACUGGAACUGAGACACGGUCCAGACUCCUACGGGAGGCAGCAGUGGGGAAUAUUGGACAAUGGGCGCAAGCCUGAUCCAGCCAUACCGCGUGGGUGAAGAAGGCCUUCGGGUUGUAAAGCCCUUUUGUUGGGAAAGAAAAGCAGCAGGUUAAUACCCCGAUGUUCUGACGGUACCCAAAGAAUAAGCAACGGCUAACUUCGUG